GAUGAACGCUGGCGGCGUGCCUAAUACAUGCAAGUCGAGCGAAUGGAUUAAGAGCUUGCUCUUAUGAAGUUAGCGGCGGACGGGUGAGUAACACGUGGGUAACCUGCCCAUAAGACUGGGAUAACUCCGGGAAACCGGGGCUAAUACCGGAUAACAUUUUGAACCGCAUGGUUCGAAAUUGAAAGGCGGCUUCGGCUGUCACUCAUGGAUGGACCCGCGUCGCAUUAGCUAGUUGGGGAGGUAACGGCUCACCAAGGCAACGAUGCGUAGCCGACCUGAGAGGGUGAUCGGCCACACUGGGACUGAGACACGGCCCAGACUCCUACGGGAGGCAGCAGUAGGGAAUCUUCCGCAAUGGACGAAAGUCUGACGGAGCAACGCCGCGUGGGUGAUGAAGGCUUUCGGGUCGUAAAACUCUGUUGUUAGGGAAGAACAAGUGCUAGUUGAAUAAGCUGGCACCUUGACGGUACCUAACCAGAAAGCCACGGCUAACUACGUGCCAGCCGCCGCUGUAA
rnacentral:rRNA from 1 species